GGAUAACAACAGAUGGACCAGGAGACAACUGAGUGGAGGCCCAGAACAAGUAAAAGGAACCCAGGACGACCAAGAACUAGGUGGAAAGAUGACAUCCAGUAACUGGGAGGAACCCAACGGUUGAGUCAAACGAUCGACAGAAGAGUGUGCAGAGAUGAACGGAGAAAGGCUGAAGAUGAUGAUUAUGAUAAAAUUCGGCUAAUGAUUAUCGAAGACUACCAGGGAACCUGUGAACGCAUACAAACAAGUUGUUCAUAGUGUCUACUUCAUUCAUGGUUCAUUAUUACUCCUUCAAAGGUUUUGCUGUCGUUGCAACUCUUCUGUAUUUCUUCUUUAAAGUAUUAAAUUUUUGGCUCUGCCAUAAAUGAAGUUCUG
rnacentral:lncRNA from 1 species